CUGGAGGUAUCAGAAGUGCGAAUGCUGACAUAAGUAACGAUAAAGCGGGUGAAAAGCCCGCUCGCCGGAAGACCAAGGGUUCCUGUCCAACGUUAAUCGGGGCAGGGUGAGUCGACCCCUAAGGCGAGGCCGAAAGGCGUAGUCGAUGGGAAACGGGUUAAUAUUCCCGUACUUGGUGUUACUGCGAAGGGGGGACGGAGAAGGCUAUGUUGGCCGGGCGACGGUUGUCCCGGUUUAAGCGUGUAGGUGUGUGUUCCAGGUAAAUCCGGUUCACUUUAACACUGAGGCGUGAUGACGAGGCACUACGGUGCUGAAGCAACAAAUGCCCUGCUUCCAGGAAAAGCCUCUAAGCAUCAGGUAACAUCAAAUCGUACCCCAAACCGACACAGGUGGUCAGGUAGAGAAUACCAAGGCGCUUGAGAGAACUCGGGUGAAGGAACUAGGCAAAAUGGUGCCGUAACUUCGGGAGAAGGCACGCUGACACGUAGGUGAAGUGAUUUACUCAUGGAGCUGAAGUCAGUCGAAGAUACCAGCUGGCUGCAACUGUUUAUUAAAAACACAGCACUGUGCAAACACGAAAGUGGACGUAUACGGUGUGACGCCUGCCCGGUGCCGGAAGGUUAAUUGAUGGGGUCAGCGCAAGCGAAGCUCCUGAUCGAAGCCCCGGUAAACGGCGGCCGUAACUAUAACGGUCCUAAGGUAGCGAAAUUCCUUGUCGGGUAAGUUCCGACCUGCACGAAUGGCGUAAUGAUGGCCAGGCUGUCUCCACCCGAGACUCAGUGAAAUUGAACUCGCUGUGAAGAUGCAGUGUACCCGCGGCAAGACGGAAAGACCCCGUGAACCUUUACUAUAGCUUGACACUGAACAUUGAGCCUUGAUGUGUAGGAUAGGUGGGAGGCUUUGAAGUGUGGACGCCAGUCUGCAUGGAGCCGACCUUGAAAUACCACCCUUUAAUGUUUGAUGUUCUAACGUGGACCCGUAAUCCGGGUUGCGGACAGUGUCUGGUGGGUAGUUUGACUGGGGCGGUCUCCUCCUAAAGAGUAACGGAGGAGCACGAAGGUUGGCUAAUCCUGGUCGGACAUCAGGAGGUUAGUGCAAUGGCAUAAGCCAGCUUGACUGCGAGCGUGACGGCGCGAGCAGGUGCGAAAGCAGGUCAUAGUGAUCCGGUGGUUCUGAAUGGAAGGGCCAUCGCUCAACGGAUAAAAGGUACUCCGGGGAUAACAGGCUGAUACCGCCCAAGAGUUCAUAUCGACGGCGGUGUUUGGCACCUCGAUGUCGGCUCAUCACAUCCUGGGGCUGAAGUAGGUCCCAAGGGUAUGGCUGUUCGCCAUUUAAAGUGGUACGCGAGCUGGGUUUAGAACGUCGUGAGACAGUUCGGUCCCUAUCUGCCGUGGGCGCUGGAGAACUGAGGGGGGCUGCUCCUAGUACGAGAGGACCGGAGUGGACGCAUCACUGGUGUUCGGGUUGUCAUGCCAAUGGCACUGCCCGGUAGCUAAAUGCGGAAGAGAUAAGUGCUGAAAGCAUCUAAGCACGAAACUUGCCCCGAGAUGAGUUCUCCCUGAGACUUAGAGUCUCCUGAAGGAACGUUGAAGACGACGACGUUGAUAGGCCGGGUGUGU
rnacentral:rRNA from 1 species